CACGUAGGGCGCAAGCGUUGUCCGGAAUUAUUGGGCGUAAAGAGCUCGUAGGCGGUCUGUUGCGUCCGCUGUGAAAACUCGGGGCUUAACCCCGAGCCUGCAGUGGAUACGGGCAGACUAGAGGUAGGUAGGGGAGAAUGGAAUUCCCGGUGUAGCGGUGAAAUGCGCAGAUAUCGGGAGGAACACCGGUGGCGAAGGCGGUUCUCUGGGCCUUACCUGACGCUGAGGGCGAACGACGUGGGGAGCGAACAGG
rnacentral:rRNA from 1 species